AGAUGAAGUUCUACCUUGCUGUGCUCUUGACUUCUGCUGUAAUCUCUACGAUUGCCGAGAACUGCACUAAUCUUUGUAGACCGACUUAUAUCCCAGCUUGUGCCAAGUAUCCCUCAUGUUUCAUGAAUUUUGAUGAUGACUGCAUAUUGAGACACAUCAACUGCUGGCAAAAAAAAACACAAAAGCCAGAAUUUAAUCUUGUUCAUUGGGGCGACUGUAAGCGCGAAGAAACCCCAGUCUGUCCAAAGGAUCUGAUCAAGGCUCUUGCUGAAAAUAACGCGACAUGUCAUGUUUGUAGCCGUUUAACUAAUUCAGUGUAUCCCAAGCGUAGCGAUACUUAAAGAUGAACUUUUGCAUCUGUAAAGGUUUAUACAAGUAGGCGUAUCGAAUGGAACUGUUUCGCCUACUAUUCGAUUAGUGCACCGAUUUCUUUGAAAUAAACACCCACCAAAUUAA